rnacentral:misc_RNA from 1 species
GAAAUGCGAUAAGUAAUGUGAAUUGCAGAAUUCAGUGAAUCAUCGAAUCUUUGAACGCACCUUGCGCUCCUUGGUAUUCCUUGGAGCAUGCCUGUUUGAGUAUCAUGAAAUCUUCAAAGUAAAUCUUUUGUUAACUCAAUUGGUUUCUACUUUGGUAUUGGAGGUCUUUGCAGCUUCACACCUGCUCCUCUUUGUUCAUUAGCUGGAUCUCAGUGUUAUGCUUGGUUCCACUCGGCGUGAUAAGUUAUCUAUCGCUGAGGACACUGUAAAAGGUGGCCAAGGUAAAUGCAGAUGAACCGCUUCUAAUAGUCCAUUGACUUGGACAAUACUUUUAUGAUCUGAUCUCACAUCAGGUAGGACUACCCGCUGAACUUACGC